AGUUAGAAGUAAUUUACAAUUAGUUUCGACCUAAUAUUAGACAUUUGUCCUAAUUU
rnacentral:tRNA from 1 species